rnacentral:rRNA from 1 species
GUGAGGAAUAUUGGUCAAUGGACGGAAGUCUGAACCAGCCAUGCCGCGUGCAGGAAUAAGGUCCUAUGGAUUGUAAACUGCUUUUAUUCGGGAAUAAACCUCUUUACGUGUAGGGAGCUGAAGGUACCGAAGGAAUAAGCACCGGCUAACUCCGUGCCAGCAGCCGCGGUAAUACGGAGGGUGCAAGCGUUAUCCGGAAUCAUUGGGUUGAAAGGGUCCGCAGGCGGGCUAUCAAGUCAGAGGUGAAAUCCCACAGCUUAACUGUGGAACUGCCUUUGAAACUGAUGGUCUUGAAUUAAGUGGGCGUUGGCGGAAUAUGACAUGUAGCGGUGAAAUGCAUAGAUAUGUCAUGGAACACCGAAAGCGAAGGCAGCUAACGAUACUUAUAUUGACGCUCAUGGACGAAAGCGUGGGUAGCGAACAGGAUUAGAAACCCUAGUAGUCC